CCCCUCUCAGGACUUUACCAGGAGAGUUUCCACUACUCUACCAGCCUCGGCUAAAGGAGGGAGAGUCAAGCAGAGACCUAUCCAUUCCAUUCCUAGCUUGGGCAAUGGCUAGCAAAUGGAAAGCAUUCUGCUAAAAGU